UACGUAGGGGGCAAGCGUUGUCCGGAUUUAUUGGGCGUAAAGAGCGUGUAGGCGGCUAGGUAGGUCCGUUGUGAAAACUCGAGGCUCAACCUCGAGCUGUCGAUGGAAACCAUCUGGCUAGAGUCCGGAAGAGGAGAGUGGAAUUCCUGGUGUAGCGGUGAAAUGCGCAGAUAUCAGGAAGAACACCCGUGGCGAAGGCGGCUCUCUGGGACGGUACUGACGCUGAGACGCGAAAAGCGUGGGGGAGCGAAACAGG
rnacentral:rRNA from 1 species